rnacentral:rRNA from 1 species
GAUGAACGCUGGCGGCGUGCUUAACACAUGCAAGUCGAACGAUGACGCCCAGCUUGCUGGGUGGAUUAGUGGCGAACGGGUGAGUAACACGUGAGUAACCUGCCCUUAACUCUGGGAUAAGCCUGGGAAACUGGGUCUAAUACCGGAUAGGAGCGUCCACCGCAUGGUGGGUGUUGGAAAGAUUUAUCGGUUUUGGAUGGACUCGCGGCGUAUCAGCUUGUUGGUGAGGUAAUGGCUCACCAAGGCGACGACGGGUAGCCGGCCUGAGAGGGUGACCGGCCACACUGGGACUGAGACACGGCCCAGACUCGUACGGGAGGCAGCAGUGGGGAAUAGUGCACAAUGGGCGCAAGCCUGAUGCAGCGACGCCGCGUGGGGGAUGACGGCCUGCGGGUUGUAAACCUCUGUCAGUAGGGAAGAAGCGAAAGUGACGGUACCUGCAGAAGAAGCACCGGCUAACUACGUG